CCUACGGGCGGCAGCAGUGGGGAAUAUUGCGCAAUGGGCGAAAGCCUGACGCAGCGACGCCGCGUGAGGGAUGAAGGUCUUCGGAUCGUAAACCUCUGUCAGCCGGGAAGCACCGUCACUGUGCUAAUCAGCAGUGAAUUGACGGUACCUGCACAGGAAGCACCGGCUAACUCCGUGCCAGCAGCCGCGGUAAUACGGAGGGUGCGGGCGUUGAUUGGAAUUUCUGGGCGUAAAGCGUUCGUAGGCGGUAUGUCAAGUCAAGGGGGAAAUCCCCGCGCUCAACGUGGGAACUGCCUUUGAAACUGGCAAACUGGAGUGUGUGAGAGGAUAGAGGAAUGCCAGGUGUAGGAGUGAAAUCCGUAGAUAUCUGGAGGAACACCAGUGGCGAAGGCGACUAUCUGGCACAUAACUGACGCUGAGGAGCGAAAGCGUGGGUAGCAAACAGGAUUAGAUACCCCUGUAGUC
rnacentral:rRNA from 1 species